GAAGGUCGAAAGAUUGUAAAGUUCUUUUAUAAAUGAGGAAUAAGCUUUGUAGGAAAUGACAAGGUGAUGACGUUAAUUUAUGAAUAAGCCCCGGCUAAUUACGUGCCAGCAGCCGCGGUAAUACGUAAGGGGCGAGCGUUGUUCGGGAUUAUUGGGCGUAAAGGGUGAGUAGGCGGAUAUGCAAGUCUAUGCGUAAAAUACCACAGCUCAACUGUGGAGCUAUGCUGGAAACUGCAUGACUAGAGUCUGAUAGGGGAAGUUAGAAUUCCUGGUGUAAGGGUGGAAUCUGUUGAUAUCAGGAAGAAUACCAGAGGCGAAGGCGAACUUCUAGGUCAAGACUGACGCUGAGUCACGAAAGCGUAGGGAGCAAACAGGAUUAGAUACCCUGGUAGUCUACGCUGUAAACGAUGCACACUUGGUGUUAAUUGAGAGAUUAGUACCGAAGCUAACGUGUUAAGUGUGCCGCCUGGGGAGUAUGCUCGCAAGAGUGAAACUCAAAGG
rnacentral:rRNA from 1 species